UACGUAGGGUGCAAGCGUUGUCCGGAAUUACUGGGUGUAAAGGGUUCGUAGGCGGUGCGGCAAGUUGGGAGUGAAAUCUCUGGGCUUAACCCAGAGGCUGCUUUCAAAACUGCUGUGCUUGAGUGUGAGAGAGGCUCGUGGAAUUGCAGGUGUAGCGGUGAAAUGCGUAGAUAUCUGCAGGAACACCCGUGGCGAAAGCGGCGAGCUGGAUCACUACUGACGCUGAGGAACGAAAGCUAGGGGAGCAAACAGG
rnacentral:rRNA from 1 species